GGGUUGGUCAUCACUUGUGCUUGUUGGGUAGCAAAGAACUCAAUCAGCUCCUGCUUGGAGAUUGCUCUUAUCUUCUCCUCAAGGUCUUUCUUAUAAUGGUCCCGCUUCCUGUAGCUUUCUUGGUUGUUUUGAAAUGCUUUACCCUAGGGCAAUGCUGAUGAUAUCCCUCGAACACGACCAGAGUGCUCCGCGGUUUCGAUUGUGGCAGUUAGCUGAUCUCUCUCCCUGUCCGGCUUGAAAAGACCCUUCUUUUGCAUCUCGGCGAGCUGUUCCAACCUCUCAUAAAUUUUCUUUGUUGUUGGGUGUUUGAAUGUAACCUUACCGUUGGGUGUGAAUACCGGAGCUCGAGCUAGCAACCAAUUCCUACUGCGCUGAUCCAAGCCUUCAAACAAAUCCGAUAAACUAGCUAGCCUCUGUUCUUCUUCCUCUCUCCUCCAUUUAGCGAUCUUGGC
rnacentral:lncRNA from 1 species